rnacentral:rRNA from 1 species
GAUGAUUCAUAGUAAUCGAACGAAUCGCAGGUAUAUGCGAUAAGUCAUUCAAGUUUCUGCCCUAUCAGCUUUGGAUGGUAGUGUAUUGGACUACCAUGGCAGUCACGGGUAACGGAGAAUUAGGGUUCGAUUCCGGAGAGGGAGCCUGAGAAACGGCUACCACAUCUACGGAAGGCAGCAGGCGCGCAAAUUGCCCAAUCCUGACACGGGGAGGCAGUGACAAGAAAUAACAACUCUAGGAUUUCUUAGAAGUGUAAUGAGGAUAAUUUACAAACCUUACCGAAUGCAAUUGGAGGGCAAGUCUGGUGCCAGCAGCCGCGGUAAUUCCAGCUCCAUAGCGUAUAUUAAAGUUGUUGCAGUUAAAAGCUCGUAGUUGAAGUUCUGAUUGCUCAGGUUUCCAGCCUUAGGCGGAGAUACUGACAGUCAUCCGCUUGC